CCAGAGCUCAGGGGAGCAUUGUUAUGUCCAUGAUAUACCCUGGAAAGUCUGGAAAGUCCAGGCUGGUGUUUGACAUAGACUACAUCUGCCUGGAUGCAAUUAAAAUGUAGGGCUAGGUUGAGGCCUGGCUGUAUACCUGCACAGGGUCUUAAGGAAAGCGUGAAACCUCCCUGCCUAGCCUCCCCCCAGAUAAUGGAGCCAGAGGCACAGAGAGAGUGCCAGAAGUCUCAGAGAUGGUGAGGUAAACUGCCCCUCAACUGGCCACAAACUGCACAGUUAUGAAACAACUGAAGACCUAUUACAUUUCAAAUCCAACCCAAAGAACUCCCACCUGCCUUUCUUACCCCCAUUUCAGUGAAGAGAAAGAGAGCCACUCCAGCUGUGCGGGGGAGGUUGGUGUGGAACCAAGAUGCUGAAAGACUACUACUAGACAGUGCCACUUAUCUACAAUGCACUUACAUG